rnacentral:rRNA from 1 species
GAUGAACGCUGGCGGCGUGCCUAAUACAUGCAAGUAGAACGCUGAAGGAGGAGCUUGCUCUUUCCGGAUGAGUUGCGAACGGGUGAGUAACGCGUAGGUAACCUGCCUGGUAGCGGGGGAUAACUAUUGGAAACGAUAGCUAAUACCGCAUAACAGUAGAUAUUGCAUGAUAUUUGCUUGAAAGGGGCAAUUGCUCCACUACCAGAUGGACCUGCGUUGUAUUAGCUAGUUGGUGAGGUAACGGCUCACCAAGGCGACGAUACAUAACCGACCUGAGAGGGUGAUCGGCCACACUGGGACUGAGACACGGCCCAGACUCCUACGGGAGGCAGCAGUAGGGAAUCUUCGGCAAUGGACGGAAGUCUGACCGAGCAACGCCGCGUGAGUGAAGAAGGUUUUCGGAUCGUAAAGCUCUGUUGUAAGAGAAGAACGAGUGUGAGAGUGGAAAGUUCACACUGUGACGGUAUCUUACCAGAAAGGGACGGCUAACUACGUG